ensembl:lncRNA
GCCCUGACAUCCAUUUAUUAAUGGAUGUAAUACAAUAAAAAAAAUUACCUGAACAUUAUUUAGGAAAGCCAAACAAUUAUCCGAAGUGUUAGAUUAUGCAUCGGAGCCAGCCGUGAUAUUCCCAGACCCAUUCCGUCCUACACAUUAGUCAAUGUGCUGACAUGCAUACACAUGAGACUUUAUUUCCUCUUUCGGUUAUUUUAAGUCGAGAUGUGGUCUGAAUCUAGGGCCCACCCCUCUUACAACACCACGGGUGACACUGAACUUUCAAUGAUAAGAAGUGCCCUACCCAAACAUACGGGAUGACACGUUCUGGAAUGCAAACCUUCCAGCUUCUUAGUAAGUAGUAAAGUACUGAUAGUAUACCUUGUAGCGUUGGUGCAUACAGUAGUAUAAUAGUAGUAUAGUACCUUGUAGCAUUGGUGCAGACAGUAGUAUGGUAGUAGUAUAGUACCUUGAGGCGUUGGUGCAUACAGUAGUAUGCUAGUGGUAUAGUACCUUGUAGCGUUGGUGCAUACAGUAGUAAUAGUACCUUGUAGCGUUGUUGCAUACAGUAGUAUGGUAGUGGUAUAGUACCUUGUAGCGUUGUUGCAUACAGUAGUAUGGUAGUGGUAUAGUACCUUGUAGCGUUGGUGCAUACAGUAGUAUGCUUGUGGUAUAG